GUGGGGAAUUUUGGACAAUGGGCGCAAGCCUGAUCCAGCCAUUCCGCGUGCAGGAUGAAGGCCUUCGGGGUGUAAACUGCUUUUGUACGGAACGAAAAGCCUCUGGUUAAUACCCGGGGGUCAUGACGGUACCGUAAGAAUAAGCACCGGCUAUCUACGUGCCAGCAGCCGCGGUAAUACGUAGGGUGCGAGCGUUAGUCGGAAUUACUGGGCGUAAAGCGUGCGCAGGCGGUGAUGUAAGACAGUUGGGAAAUCCCCAGCCUCAAGCUGGGAACUGCAUCUGUGACUGCAUUGCUGGAGUGCGGCAGAGGGGGAUGGAAUUCCGCGUGUAGCAGUGAAAUGCGUAGAUAUGCGGAGGAACACCAAUGGCGAAGGCAAUCCCCUGGGCCUGCACUGACGCUCAUGCACGAAAGCGUGGGGAGCAAACAGGAUUAGAUACCCUUGUAGUCC
rnacentral:rRNA from 1 species